CCCUGCCUUUUGUACACACCGCCCGUCGCUCCUACCGAUUGAGCAUUCCGGUGAAUAAUUCGGACUGCAGCCAUCGCUGGAUCCCAGUGACGGCCGCGGGAAGUUUAGUGAACCUUAAUGCUUAGAGG
rnacentral:rRNA from 1 species